rnacentral:rRNA from 1 species
AUUGAACGCUGGCGGCAUGCCUUACACAUGCAAGUCGAACGGUAACAGGUUAAGCUGACGAGUGGCGAACGGGUGAGUAAUGUAUCGGAACGUGCCCAGUUGUGGGGGAUAACUGCUCGAAAGAGCAGCUAAUACCGCAUACGACCUGAGGGUGAAAGCGGGGGAUCGCAAGACCUCGCGCAAUUGGAGCGGCCGAUAUCAGAUUAGGUAGUUGGUGGGGUAAAGGCUCACCAAGCCAACGAUCUGUAGCUGGUCUGAGAGGACGACCAGCCACACUGGGACUGAGACACGGCCCAGACUCCUACGGGAGGCAGCAGUGGGGAAUUUUGGACAAUGGGCGCAAGCCUGAUCCAGCAAUGCCGCGUGCAGGAAGAAGGCCU